UUUGUUUUGUGUUGAAUCUCUUUCGAACCCUAACUCGAAGUCUCUUCUCACAGACUGAAACUCUCCUCUUUUGAAUAUAUGGAGGAGCAUAGUGCAAGGAAGGUAAUAGAAUGAACGGCGGCGGAAAACGCGAUUAAGGAUUGCGUUACACAUGGGAGGAGGCAUAGUCCCAUAUCUCAAUGAUACGGUCUCCCGAAUGUCAAAACCCUAAACCCCUCUCUCCAAUGCCCCGACCUCUCCAUCAUCGUUCACUCCUCACACUUUUUCCUCACUCUCACAACUUCCUCUCGCUCCCUUAGGGUUCCGCUUCCAACCAUCAUGCUCGAUGGCGACUCUCCAAUAACUCUCCAAUAAGAGCAAUUAGAAAGAAAUUAGAAUGGCCACCCUAGACGAAUGCCCAUCUGCGAAAAGGUGGCUUCCUCUUGAAGAUAACCUAGAUGUCAUGAACCAGGCAUGAAUUUAAGUGUUUUCUUGGAUGAAUUACAGUUCUUCUGGGGUCUUGGCCUUCUAAUGGAAGAGGUAGAGUUUUGUGAUGUUUUUGGCUUGGAUGAAGAGCUUCUGGAAAUGGUUCCAAAUCCAGUUCUUGUUGUGCUUUUUCUUUAUCCCAUUACCGCAAAGACUGAAGAAGAAAGGUUGCAACAGGAAAAUGAAAAAAAGGAUUAUAGCAGUAAAGUGUACUUUACGAAGCAAACCGUGGGUAAUGCUUGUGGUACGAUAAGUCUGCUUCAUGCACUUGGGAACAUAACUUUCGAAGUCAAGCUUGGUAGGCUUUUAACAAUCACAACCUCGGUUUAAGUUUAUAGUGUAUCAACCAUUAUAUCUAUUUAGUUUGUGCUGCUUUUGUUGUUAUCGGUUGAGGGGUCCUUUUUUGACAAGUUCUUUAAAUCUACUGCCAGGAUGGAUCCAUUGUAGUUGGCUGCCUUUCUCGAGAAUGACAGGGAGAUGGAAGUUGCUCAUUCAGUAGUAGCCACUACUGGCGACAUAGUGGUACUAUAUUUGUUAAAUUUAAAGCAACAACAAUUGGGGCGGUAUGAUAUGAUGUAGAGUUCCAUAUCCUCCAAUUAUACUAGGCAGGGAAAGGAACUACUUCCUUCCUAAUAGAGGUGUAUAUGUUCCUGCUGAAUUUAUAAGAGAAUGAUGUGAGUCACCAACCUUAAGGAUGGAGUUUUUGUUUAUACGUGAUUUGACCGGGACUUAAUGGCGGGAGGGUCAUUGUUCGAGAAGAGAAUGCGGGUUCUAUUUCAUAUUCAGUCAUCAUGUUAGGAUUGAGGAACCUAUAAUGCGGAUCCCAACUUUGGCAAUUCACUUGGGCAGGUUAUGAGUACAAAAAUACUCCAUACUGGUUUCGGUUUCUCAAUAAAGAGCUUGUUCGUGUGGCUUCCUUUUCAGACCAUGAAGCUUUUGACCAUCCUGUGAUAUGUGAGAUUUGGCAUCAGUCAGGGUUCUUCUUCUUGUGUUCGUAUUUUCUCUUUCAAAGUUUAUGAUUUAUUCAUGUAAUGUAUCAACUGUAAAAGAUAAUUAGUUAUUAUUUGACAAUUUGAUACUAUAUUUUGACAAUUUAACAGUUGUAUUUGAAUUUUAUCAAAUAUAUAAAAGUUCUAAUUAUUA